rnacentral:lncRNA from 1 species
GGCUCAGCCCAUGCUCGCUGGGUGGCCGAUUGUUGACUGGUGCUCUGUGAGCUCCAAGUUUCCUGUAAACAUUAGAAAAUACAGCAUGGGUUUUGGGUGGCAGCUACUCUGGGGCAUACUGGCUGGGGAACUGGCAGAAUUCCACAGGCUGGUUUUUCUCAAGUUAACUGGUGGCUUCCUGCCAUGACAACAAGCUCAGCCCUGUGGGAAGUGGGUUUGGAUGGUGCUUCUGGAUCACCUCAGCAUACAAAACACUGGGAGGGCAAAAAGGGAGGCGUCUGUGAGUGGAUCAGUCUCCAGGAAGGCUUCAUAGAAGAGGUGACCUGAGAGGUGGGCCUUGAAAAAAAACAGCAAUGAAGUGAAUGCAACUGAUGCCUCCUCAAAAGUUUGCUACCUGCCAAGACUUUCAAGCAUGAAAAUAUCUUUAUUUUUCCCUUUUAAAAUUGAUGGGUAGGCCAUAUGGGAGAGAGGGAAAUACUGACAAAGAGGGCACCUCAAGAAAAGCAUGCCUAUAAAAAUAAUGUGACAAACAAUGAAACAACACACAAACAGUUUGACAGAUAAGAGAGCAAAGGAUCACCACACGCCCGUGAUUCUAGAGCAAGUGGUGACUUUAGUGUGUGGCUGUGCUCAUGCAUAUGGACCUUACACAACUGCAAUCAGCAUCUGCAUACCUACACCCAGUAACCUGCUUUCUCUACCUAAUAUGAUAUAAUGAGCAUUUUUCUAUAUUGCUACAUAGUCUUUAUAAUUACUUUAAAUGACUGUAUAAUAUUCCAUUCAUUAUAUCACUGCUGAAUAUUUAGGUUGCUUGUAGUUUUUCCUUUGCUCAUUUUUAUGAAUUAACAAAUGUAAAGUAUUUCACCCACUACCUUCAAAUUAUAUAUACUUGGUCGGCACUUUAUUUCCUUCCCGUUCUGCCCCUUUAUAUAAAUAAAGAAAAGUAUGAAAGAUUCAUAUA